GUCUUCUUGAGAUUUAUAGGAAGUCUGACCUGCCCAGUGAUCAUAAUUAUUUAACGGCCGCGGUAUAUUGACCGUGCAAAGGUAGCAUAAUCAUUAGUCUUUUAAAAGAGGGCUGGAAUGAAUGGUUUGACGAGGUGUUGACUGUCUCAUUCAAUAUUAUAUUAAAAUUUAACUUUUUAGUUAAAAGGCUUGAAUUUUUUUGGAAGACGAAAAGACCCUAUAGAGCUUUAUAUUGUUUUGGGUUAUAUUUAUUUUGUUUUAUUAUUUUAAUUAGCUUGAAUUUUAUUUUGUUGGGGUGACAAAAAUAUAAAAUUAACUUUUUUAUUUAUAUUACAUUGAUAUAUGGUUUUUAGAUCCAUUCUUAUUGAUUGUUAGAUUAAGUUACCUUAGGGAUAACAGCGUAAUCUUCUUUCGGAGUUCGAAUUUACAAGAAGGAUUGCGACCUCGAUGUUGGAUUAAGAUUAUAAUUAGGUGCAGCCACUUAUUUUAUAGGUCUGUUCGACCUUUAAAUUCUUACAUGAUCUGAGUUCAAACCGG
rnacentral:rRNA from 1 species